rnacentral:rRNA from 1 species
GUGACAGCCGCCGCGGUAACACGUAGGAUCCGAGCGUUAUCCGAAUUUACUGGGCGUAAAGCGCAAGCAGGCGGCCGGUUAAGUUGGACGUGAAAGCUCCUGGCUCAACUGGGAGAGGUCGUUCAAGACUGGCUGGCUAGAGGGCGGCAGAGGGAGGUGGAAUUCCCGGUGUAGUGGUGAAAUGCGUAGAGAUCGGGAGGAACACCAGAGGCGAAAGCGGCCUCCUGGGCCGCGCCUGACGCUGAGUUGCGAAAGCUAGGGGAGCGAACGGGAUUAGAUACCCUCGUAGUCC